GGGAGGAGUCAAACAGGACAGAGUCAGAGAGAAACAGGUAGAAACAGGAGGGGGAGGAGUCAAACAGGACCGAGUCAGAGAGAAACAGGAGGGUGAGGAGUCAAACAGGACAGAGUCAGAGAAAACAGGAGGGGAGAGGAGUCAAACAGGACAGAGUCAGAGAGAAACAGGAGGGAGGGUGAGGAGUCAAACAGGACAGAGUCAGAGAGAAACAGGAGGGUGAGGAGUCAAACAGGACAGAGUCAGAGAGAAACAGGAGGAAACAGGAGGGGGAGGAGUCAAACAGGACAGAGUCAG